rnacentral:rRNA from 1 species
UACGUAGGGUGCAAGCGUUGUCCGGAAUUAUUGGGCGUAAAGAGCUCGUAGGCGGUUUGUCGCGUCUGCUGUGAAAACGCGAGGCUCAACCUCGCGCCUGCAGUGGGUACGGGCAGACUAGAGUGCGGUAGGGGAGAUUGGAAUUCCUGGUGUAGCGGUGGAAUGCGCAGAUAUCAGGAGGAACACCGAUGGCGAAGGCAGAUCCCUGGGCCGUAACUGACGCUGAGGAGCGAAAGCGUGGGGAGCGAACAGG